rnacentral:rRNA from 1 species
AGUGAAGCGGGAACAGCUCAAAUUUGAAAUCUGGGUCCGAGUUGUAAUUUGUAGAGGAUGCUUUUGGUGCGGUCCUUCCGAGUUCCCUGGAACGGGACGCCUUAGAGGGUGAGAGCCCCGUACGGUUGGACGCCGCCUCUGUAAAGCUCCUUCGACGAGUCGAGUAGUUUGGGAAUGCUGCUCUAAAUGGGAGGUAUAUUUCUUCUAAAGCUAAAUACUGGCCAGAGACCGAUAGCGCACAAGUAGAGUGAUCGAAAGAUGAAAAGCACUUUGAAAAGAGGGUUAAAUAGCACGUGAAAUUGUUGAAAGGGAAGCGUUUAUCACCAGACUUUUUCUAGGGAUCAUCCGGUGUUCUCACCGGUGCACUUCCUAGUGAGGCCAGCAUCGGUUUUCGGAGGGGGAUAAAGUUUCGGGAAUGUGACUCCGGGAGUGUUAUAGCCCGUUACAUACCCUUCUGGGGACCGAGGUUCGCGCAUCUGCAAGGAUGCUGGCAUAAUGGUGAUCAACGACCCGUCUUGAAACACGGACCAAGGAGUCGAACAUUUAUGCGAGUGUUUGGGUGUCAAACCCUCACGCGUAAUGAAAGUGAACGGAGGUGAGAGCGGUGCAUCAUCGACCGAUCCUGAUGUCUUCGGAUGGAUUUGAGUAAGAGCAUAACUGU